UUUGCACGUAUAAACUCCUGCAACUAUAUAGCAACAUUCAUGUGGUAUCAUGAAAUAAAGGAUAAAAUGCCUUUAUAACUAGUUAUUCUAUUUUUUCAGAAAACUCUUACUCCAUCUUGACAAAUCAGUUGUUCUCACUCUUUUUUCUGAGGUGAUGGAUGGAUGGUUGAUUCAUCCAUCUGUCCAUAUAUGAAUAGUACCUGCUGUCAUUGUACAAUUUAGUGGUCCAUUUUAUUGCCAGGAGUUAUUAUAACUUGGUGGUCAAAUGUAAAUAAAGGUCAUGUUGUUACAUUGUAUUAGACUGCUUUUCUCCAUGAAUGGAGAACAACUAUUUGAUCAGUGGUGUUAAUGGUAUUGGAUUUGAUGGAAAGAAACAGUACCUUUUGAUUUGUAUUUAACUUCUCCAUUCAUAUUUCAUGAAAUUGAUAGGUUUAAGAAUUGUAGUUGAGUUAAGGGGUUUUGAAAGUAAGAGGUGUAUAAGUGGAGAGAGUUAAAGGUGGAGGUGGUUGAGAUGAUCUAUGAGCUUGGUGUUCUCUUGAGGUGUAUAAGUGGAGAGAGUUAAAGGUGGAGGUGGUUGAGAUGAUCUAUGAGCUUGGUGUUCUCUUGAGGUGUAUAAGUGGAGAGAGUUAAAGGUGGAGGUGAUUGGGAUGAUCUAUGAGCUUGGGGUUCUUUUGAGGUGGGCUGCAAGAAUUCAGGUUCCAAAAAGUUCAAGCUGUUGCCUUAGUGUGUUAUUGAGAAAACAGGUAAACCUUGCAUGGAUAGGGUAACACGGUUAGAGAUGUUCUUGUUUGUUUGUUUGUUUGUGUGUGCGUUCUACAUCUUGCAAAGUUGCCAUGGUGAGUGGAAUUCUGUUGCUUGCUUCAUUUCAAUUGGUUUCUAAAUGAUGUUAUUAUAGAUUUAUGAUCAUAUAUGUAUAACUAUGAAAUGCGAAAAUGUUGACAUUUUGCAUGUGUAUAGAUUCAUAUUCAUCAAACUGCACGGAAUUCUAGUUGUUGGUUUGGUUAUUGAAUUUUUUUAAUUUGGUUUGGCUGUGGAUAACGAAGCGGCAAUAUAUAAA